ACUCCUACGGGAGGCAGCAGUGGGGAAUUUUGGACAAUGGGGGCAACCCUGAUCCAGCAAUGCCGCGUGAGUGAAGAAGGCCUUCGGGUUGUAAAGCUCUUUUGUCAGGGAAGAAACACCGGCUCUAACACAGUCCGGGAAUGACGGUACCUGAAGAAUAAGCACCGGCUAACUACGUGCCAGCAGCCGCGGUAAUAC
rnacentral:rRNA from 1 species